rnacentral:rRNA from 1 species
UACGUAGGGGGCGAGCGUUGUCCGGAAUUAUUGGGCGUAAAGAGCGUGUAGGCGGUUCGGUAAGUCUGCCGUGAAAACCUGGGGCUCAACCCUGGGCGUGCGGUGGAUACUGCCGGGCUAGAGUCCGGAAGAGGCGAGUGGAACUCCUGGUGUAGCGGUGGAAUGCGCAGAUAUCAGGAAGAACACCAACGGCGAAGGCAGCUCGCUGGGACGGAACUGACGCUAAGGCGCGAAAGCGUGGGGAGCGAACAGG